AUGUGGGCGCCUCCAAAGUGUAAAUUCUUUGCCUGGUUAAUUCUUCAGAACCGCGUUUGGACGUCUGAUCGCCUAGCUCGGCGAGGAUGGCCUAACUGCGGCCUUUGCCCGCUUUGCAAGCAGGUACAGGAGUCUGCUGUCCACCUUCUUUUCCAAUGCAGAUUUUCUGCAUGAGUUUGGAACGAGAUCACCGCUUGGCUAGGCAUUCAAGACCACUCACCAAUGUUGUGGAGGCAUGAAGAUUCAGUCCGAUCAUGUUGGCAGAAGGCGGUGAGUGCUGGAGGUCAAAGCCAGAAGGCCAUUGCUUCGGCUAUGAUGCUUGUCUCAUGGGAAAUCUGGAAGGAAAGAAACGCAAGAAUUUUUCGCAACACGGCUGCCCCGACCUACAUCGUCAUCAGUAAAAUCAAAGAGGAAGCCCAUCUUUGGGCAUUGGCGGGAGCCAAGCAUUUGAGUCUUCUGAUGUCAGGAGAGUAG
rnacentral:rRNA from 1 species